rnacentral:tRNA from 1 species
GGGGGCAUAGCUCAGUUGGUAGAGCGUCUGCUUUGCAAGCAGAAGGUCACCGGUUCGAACCCGGUUGCCUCCACCA